GGGGCGGGGGCAGAGGCAGCGCCAACGAGCGCGAGCAUCGGCGCGCUGCGACCCGCGCACGUGCCCGCCCCGCAGCACGGCGCGAGGGGAAGGCGGAGGCGGGGCCGGGGGCAGCGCGCGCCGCGGGAGGGGCGGCGGCACCUGCGGGGCGGCCGCGGGGCGGCCACCGGCAAGCGGCGGCCGAGGGCGCGGAGCGGCGAGCGGACACUCCGCGCAGCCCGCCCGGCGUGCCCGCGGGCAUGGAGCAGGACAAGUACCUGCCCCAGCUGAUGGCCGAGAAGGACAGCCUGGAUCCCUGCUUUGUUCAUGCCAUGCGCCUCCUGGAAGACGAAAUGGAAAAAUUUCAGGGUUCUGAAGGCAAGAAGGAAGAUGAAGAAAAGAAAUAUCUUGAUGUUAUCAGCAACAAAAACAUAAAGCUGUCAGAGAGAGUUCUGAUCCCUGUCAAACAAUAUCCAAAGUUCAAUUUUGUUGGGAAAUUGCUUGGACCAAGAGGAAACUCUUUAAAGAGGUUACAAGAAGAAACAGGUGCAAAAAUGUCCAUCCUGGGAAAAGGAUCCAUGAGGGAUAAAGCUAAGGAGGAAGAACUAAGGAAAAGUGGAGAAGCCAAAUACGCGCACUUGAGUGAUGAGCUCCACGUAUUAAUUGAAGUUUUUGCUCCGCCUGGGGAGGCGUAUUCUCGUAUGAGUCAUGCCUUGGAAGAAAUAAAAAAAUUCCUGGUUCCUGAUUAUAAUGAUGAAAUUCGCCAGGAGCAGCUGAGAGAACUGUCGUAUUUGAAUGGUUCUGAGGACUCAUCACGUGGACGGGGCAUUCGAGGAAGAGGGAUCCGUGUGCCACCUGCAGCUCCUUCAAGGGGUCGUGGGGGUGCAAUUCCUCCACCCCUGCCUGGACGAGGUGCCCAAGCACCCAGAGGAGCGCCAGUGACCCGUGGAGCCCUCCCUGUGCCACCAGUGGCAAGGGGCGUUCCCACCCCUCGAGCCAGGGGCGCCCCGUCUGUCCCGGGUUACAGACCACCCCCGCCACCUGCACACGAGGCCUACGAGGACUAUGGAUACGAUGAUGGGUAUGGGGGUGAAUAUGACGAUCCAAGCUAUGAGGCAUAUGAUAACAGUUAUGCUACCCAAACACAAAGCACAAGAAGAAUGGGCCACAACCCGUUCCAGCCUAAAGGCACCACCUCCAAGGGACACACAGGCACUGGACAGCUAAGCAGCAGAUCUGCUGAGAAGUGUUCAGAUUUUUGGAGCCUUAGGGAAGUACUGUACCUUUUGAAUGGUGUUCAGGGAACUGAGAGUGCUCAACAUCAUUUGCAAUAAAUCACUCUGUUCUGAAGGACUGAGCCUCAGGUUGGGACUCUCCACAGCCCUGAGUUCUGGACCUCAGGCUACCACUCAGACUUAAAGUGAUCUUCCAGUCUAUCAGGUGAGCUGUGGUAUUUUUCUAUAUAUUUUUAGUUUAUUUCAAAUAUGAUGUAAUUAGAUCACCUCAGUCUGCAAAAAAUAGGAUUAUUUUAAACUAGUUCUCAUUACAUUUGCCAUUGGAAAAGCGCUCAUACAGAGAUACCUGUGGUGCAUGUGACUUUGAGACAGGAUAAUGCAUCUAAGUUCUUACACUCUUUUUCGGUAAUAGAGAAAUAUAAUCUUAAUAAUCUUUCUCACAGAAGUAAACUAUAUUUGCACAGUAUGUUGAACAUACAAAUAGUUUUUAAAAAAGCGAAAUAUUUGAAGAAAUCAUCUCCACUUGUUAUGAGUUAGCUCAUUGAGAAGGUCAUGUUAAAACCAGAUUUUGCAGAUUCUGGGUUUUUUUGAUCUGUUCUCCACUUGUGCAUCUAUGAAAAUAUUGAUAUCCUCACUGCACUACUGUGAACAUACAUUUAUUAAUGUUUAUAGGGUUCAUUUACUGUAACACUCUUGCAACAAACUAUGGACAAUGAAAAUCUGUAAGACAUUAAAUAAAUCUACACCAGCAACUAUUUGGACAAAAAAGAGUAAACAAAGAAGAGUCAGACCACUAGAGUGUAAGACAGAUACAAAUAUUUAACUCAGUCUUGUAUCCAGAAUGAGUUAGGUCUUGUGGAGAGAAGGGUAGGAAGGCAUCCUGUAAUUAAAGUCUAUGUCCUCCUGUAUAUACUAAAGAAAAUCAUCUAAUUAUAUUGGAAAUUAUAAAUCUAGCAUUUCCUAAAUCUUCCAUACUAAAUACUGCGUUGUAUUUUUCUAACAUAAGUUUAUAUAGAGACAUAAUGUCAUACAAAAAUACAAUUAUUACAUUUAGUUAUUAGAAAUGAGCUUGUUUCUUCAGCAAACAGCUUGUGAGACAAAAGACCAUUGUCAGCCUUUGUUCAUGGUAGAGAGUGACAUCUAGAAGGUUUCAGCUGACUACCAAAAUUAAUAUCAAUAGCUAAUGUGGAGUUACACUGCAGCUGUACACACCUUCACUUCCUAUACCUGAGGCACAUCCACAAUCCUUUCCUUGCUCCUCCUGACCACAUACCAGAAAACAGACCUGAAGCUUAGUCUGCACUGCAGAGCAGCAUGAAGCCCUCAUGUAGAACCCGAUUCCCUGUCAUCAUGUGUUCUGAAAGUGGUGGCACCUUUUUUUGCCCACACUAUUUUUGGAUUUGCUCUUGCAAAUGGUGAUAUUUUAAACUAUGCCCUGCUUUAGAUGUAGAUUUUUGUCUGCAGAGAAAGAGCUAAAAGAAUGCAGCCAGAAGCUAUUCAAGCCUAACAUGAUUCUAGACUGAGGAAAAAAAAAAAAAUCAGUGUAUUUUUCAAGAUUCCUUCUCCUAGCAAGAGCUGGAAAUAAACCCUAGGUGACAGUAUUCACACUCCGGUUUUAAGUAGGCUGUGAGUGAGAUAAGAAACAGGUGAGAAUAUACAGAUUUCUUAAGGGUUUACUUAUAGUUAAAUCUGUUAACACUUUGUAAAUAGUAAUCUAGGGCUCUUAGAAAUGUUUUUAUUUAUUAUUAUUUGUGCUUUACACAUGGUAGAUGGAACAAGAAGGGGGAAGCUGUUUGGUCUCUAUCACACAGAAUGCUGUUCAUCAGAACUAAUAUACCUUUACUUAGAGCCCAAACUCCAAACAAUUGGACUAAGUUUCCUAAGAUAUCUCCCAAUUAAGACUUAUGUUCUUGUUAGUAUUCUUGGAAACUUGAGAGUAGUGAUUCUUUUUCAGUUGGUAACUACAGGUUUAAAUAAGUGAUAAAGUGUUCCAGAAGUUGGGAGACCCUGCUAGGUUUCUAGAAGUUUAACAAAAAUCUAUAGAGGAAGAAAGGGAAGUCUCGAUUUUUCCACAUCCUGAGCAAGCCAGGACUUCAUAGCAAAAUACCAAACAUCCCUAAAGACUGGGAUAUGUUGCUGUACUCUUACACUAUAGUGAGGAUCUCCAAAAUCAGUACUCUGAGUAAUUGUGUACAACUCCAAGAAUUGAUACCUGUAAGGAAGUUCCAGUGUCAGACAGACAAAGAAAGUAAAAUAUAAAAAAAGGUAAGCAAUCCUGUUCACAUCAGUGGGUCUUAUCAUAGUUGUAUAGGUUGUAAGAUUUGUCUCUGAAGUCAUACUAUGCUAAUAUGAGAGUACAGAAGACAAUUUAAUAAAUGGGCUACAUCAAGUCAGUUCAUUGGUGUUCUGUGGAGUGUAGUCUGUGUACCAAUAAAAAUCUCCAUGAUUUUUAUUAAUUCCAUUGAAGUAGCACGCCACCUCCAAAUAUUUAUAGAGAUCAAGCAGACUCACUUCAGGACAAGCCCUUCAUACAUACCAGAGGUACCAUUUCCUGAAAUGUAAACAGUUGGCAUCUGCUGUACCCUAAUCCCUAAAUCAGAAACAUAAAUGUUUGGAUUAACAAAAAAUGGAAAGCCUUACUCUUUGUUGUUGACCUCCUAGUACAUAUUUUUUGACUUUCAAUGUUACGUACGUGACUAGCAUUCUUUAUCCAGGACUGGAAAUGAAGUGACUUUUUGGUGCAGUGACUUUUUGGCAUAGUGACCACAAAGGACAGCAAUGAUCAAAUUCAAGCCAACACGAACCCUCACUGAUGCUCACCAACUUCAGGAGAUUUGAAAUCAAGCCUUCAGUUCAAUGUUACACAUGUGAUGCAGCUGUGUGAUGAUGCACAUGUGAUGAGGCAAGUAAGAUUU